GUAAAUGUUACAUUGUGUUUGCUUCUGUCUGCCUGUAUCCGUGCUUGAUAUAUUUCUUACUAAAAGGAUGAACAGAAGAUCUGCUAUGAAGGAGAUCUCUGAUCCCAAUGAAGACACAUAUACAGCUCUUGACCUCAAGUCCACG